GUUACUGUACGAGCGAUGGAACUUGGGCGUGCACAAAGAUUCUGUGUGGGGAUACAGUUAUCGAGGCAGUCGAGCUCGAGGCUACCGCUGAAAGACUGACAAUAGGCUGAGAUAACACUUCAUUGAAUUCAUCUAUUUAACUCAUCCUUUAAUCGGCAAACCCCCUCUUGGCAAAUAAACUAUACGAUCAAUAACUAUGGCUGGUUACGACAGCUAAUUAAUAUUCAAUAAUUGUUCCUUCGAAUUUAUUCAAAUAAACUCGGCCUGUAAAUAA